rnacentral:rRNA from 1 species
UAGAGGCCUACCAUGGUGGUAACGGGUAACGGGGUGUUAGGGCACGACACCGGAGAGGGAGCCUGAGAAACGGCUACCACAUCCAAGGAUGGCAGCAGGCGCGCAAAUUACCCAAUCCCGACACGGGGAGGUAGUGACAAUAAAUAACAAUACGGGGUUCUUUCGGAUCUCGUAAUUGGAAUGAGUACAAUUUAAAUCUCUUAACGAGGAACAAUUGGAGGGCAAGUCUGGUGCCAGCAGCCGCGGUAAUUCCAGCUCCAAUAGCGUAUAUUAAAGUUGUUGCAGUUAAAAAGCNNNUAGUUGAAUUUCGGGGUUAGUAGGUUGGUCAUGCCUCUGGUAUGUACUGGUCUCACUGAUUCCUCCUUCCUUAUGAACCGUAAUGCCAUUAAUUUGGUGUUGCGGGGAAUUUGGACUGUUACUUUGAAAAAAUUAGAGUGUUUAAAGCAAGCUAACGCUUGAAUACAUUAGCAUGGAAUAAUGAAAUAGGACGUUCGAUCUUAUUUUGUUGGUUUCUAGGAUUGACGUAAUGAUUAAUAGGGAUAGUUGGGGGCAUUAGUAUUCAAUUGUCAGAGGUGAAAUUCUUGGAUUUAUUGAAGACUAACUACUGCGAAAGCAUUUGCCAAGGAUGUUUUCAUUAAUCAAGAACGAAAGUUAGGGGAUCGAAGACGAUCAGAUACCGUCGCAGUCUUAACCAUAAACUAUGCCGACUAGGGAUCGGA